UAGUAUCAGCGUGUCAGCAGCCGCGGUAAUACGGAGGAUCCAAGCGUUAUCCGGAUUUAUUGGGUUUAAAGGGUGCGUAGGCGGCCUGUUAAGUCAGGGGUGAAAGACGGUAGCUCAACUAUCGCAGUGCCCUUGAUACUGAUGGGCUUGAAUGGACUAGAGGUAGGCGGAAUGAGACAAGUAGCGGUGAAAUGCAUAGAUAUGUCUCAGAACACCGAUUGCGAAGGCAGCUUACUAUGGUCUUAUUGACGCUGAGGCACGAAAGCGUGGGGAUCAAACAGGAUUAGAUACCCUGGUAGUCCACGCCCUAAACGAUGAACACUCGCUGUUGGCGAUACACAGUCAGCGGCUAAGCGAAAGCGUUAAGUGUUCCACCUGGGGAGUACGCCCGC
rnacentral:rRNA from 1 species